CCCUUAGAUGUUCUGGGCCGCACGCGCGCUACACUGAUGCAUUCAACGAGUAAUCUUUGACCUUGGUCGACAGAUCUGGGUAAUCUUUUGAAAUUGCAUCGUGAUGGGGCUUGCGGGUUGCAAUUACCCGCACCAACGAGGAAUUCCUAGUAAACGCAAGUCAUCAACUUGCAUUGAUUACGUCCCUGCCCUUUGUACACACCGCCCGUCGCUCCUACCGAUUGAGCGGUCCGGUGAAGACUCAGGAGAUGGGCGCGUGCUUGGUUCGCCAACUGCGCUGCCUGCCAAAGUUGUCUAAACCUUAUCGCUUAGAGGAAGGAGAAGUCGUAACA
rnacentral:rRNA from 1 species